rnacentral:lncRNA from 1 species
GGCUUAUUUUCACUUAUUUUCAAAAGACGUAUAACUUAUCGACAAAUUAUUUUUACUAAAUUGUUAGUUGCGACAUGUCGUAACUUAUAAAUUUUGGUUGAAAGGGUGCGUAGACAAUAAAUGGAGUUUUUCGCCCCUCUUAUGUUAAGAAUUAUGCGUAAAGCGAUAUUACUCAUGAACCAUACAUAUUAAGGAACUAGUGUCUUUAGGUUUGAGAUCCUUAGUCUAUGACCUUCAAAUUGAGGUCAAGGUCAUAGGUUAAUUGGACGUUCUAGAUUUUGACCUUUGGUCUAAAUAUGCUCCAAAUUCAUAUUUAGACAUUAUAAAGUCAUAGGAACUGACAUAUCAACUGAAUUUUUAAUAUUUUUCACAUCAAAAUAUGUUGUAAGUGGUGGAAAGACCAUCAAUGGUUCUCUGAACAAUUGGUUUUUAAUUAGGUCUUUCAACCUUUCUGUUGAAAGACCUAUUGAAUUCGUUCUGAUAUUUAUUAUUAUUUUAUUAUUUUUUUUUUUUUUUUUUCUUCCGCCAACUUUUUUUUCCUUCGCUGUUUAUUUGUUUCACAAGAUGUCGCUAAGUUAUAUGAUAUAUGAUAUCGAAC